UAUGGCUGUUCGCCAUUUAAAGUGGUACGCGAGCUGGGUUUAGAACGUCGUGAGACAGUUCGGUCCCUAUCUGCCGUGGGCGCAGGAGAUUUGAGAAGAGUUGCUCCUAGUACGAGAGGACCGGAGUGAACGAACCUCUGGUGUUCGGGUUGUGUCGCCAGACGCAUUGCCCGGUAGCUAUGUUCGGACAGGAUAACCGCUGAAAGCAUCUAAGCGGGAAGCCCCCUUCAAGACGAGAUCUCCCUGAGGACUUGAUCCUCCUAAAGUGCCGUUGAAGACUACGACGUUGAUAGGCUGGGUGUGUAAGCACAGUAAUGUGUUGAGCUAACCAGUACUAAUUGCACGUGAGGCUUGACCAUAUAA
rnacentral:rRNA from 1 species